CCCUUAGAUGUCCUGGGCCGCACGCGCGCUACGCUGAGUGUCUGAGAUACGAGUCUGCCUGGUCCGGCAAGGUCUAGGUAAUCGCUAAAAGACACAUCAUGCUUGGGAUAGAUUAUUGCAAAUAUUAAUCUUGAACGAGGAAUUCCUAGUAAGCGCAAGUCAACAGCUUGCGUUGAUUACGUCCCUGCCCUUUGUACACACCGCCCGUCGCUACUACUGAUUGGAUGUUUAAGCGAGGUUCUCGAACUGCUAGCGACUUAGCUUCGGUGAGGUCGCAGUGUGGGGAGUGAACCUAGCUUUGGUGUCUAGAGGAAGUAAAAGUCGUAACA
rnacentral:rRNA from 1 species